rnacentral:rRNA from 1 species
CCCUUAGAUGUUCUGGGCCGCACGCGCGCUACACUGACGAAGUCAGCGAGCAUCUCCUUCGCCGAAAGGUGCGGGGAAUCUUGUGAAACUUUGUCGUGCUGGGGAUUGAUUUUUGAAAUUCUUGAUCAUCAACGAGGAAUUCCUAGUAAGCGCAAGUCAGCAGCUUGCGUUGAUUACGUCCCUGCCCUUUGUACACACCGCCCGUCGCUCCUACCGAUUGAAUGCUCAGGUGAGCCAUUCGGACUUUCAUCAUGCUGGUUUCCAGUUUUGAUGAAGGAAAGUCUUGCGAACCUUAUCAUUUAGAGGAAGGAGAAGUCGUAACA